AAUCUGAAAACCUCCCCUUGUCUACUUGCAUGGUACUUUCAGCAGUGUGUGCCUUUAGAAGCACAACAUGUAACCAGUUUGGCUGCCUGAUUGGUAGUUCCAAAUGCAAGAUCAUGCAUCUAGAGAAUGCUGUGCCCCGGAGCUGGUGAGUUGGCCGAAAAUGUUUCAAAAAUGAUUGAUUCUCAUUUUGCAGAGAAGAUUGAUAUGUCAGAAGUGCAGGUGAUGUAUAGAUUGAAAACCCAAAGAACCAUCCCUCCAUGAAAGAUUUCACUGAAUGAAUAAGACGAUAGUUUUACGACUUAAUUUUAUUUAUAUUUCCGCUGCGAACUCGAUAAUGUGAUAAGCUCCCAUUAAGAAAGAAUUUGAUAAUUUGUUGAAUUCUUUUACUCUAAUGAAAUAAUAAAUAUAGUUAAUUUUAUUCUCGUGAA